rnacentral:rRNA from 1 species
AUUGAACGCUGGCGGCAUGCCUUACACAUGCAAGUCGAACGGCAGCACGGGAGCAAUCCUGGUGGCGAGUGGCGAACGGGUGAGUAAUACAUCGGAACGUGCCCAAUCGUGGGGGAUAACGCAGCGAAAGCUGUGCUAAUACCGCAUACGAUCUACGGAUGAAAGCAGGGUAUCGCAAGACCUUGCGCGAAUGGAGCGGCCGAUGGCAGAUUAGGUAGUUGGGGAGGUAAA